rnacentral:rRNA from 1 species
ACGAACGCUGGCGGCGUGCUUAACACAUGCAAGUCGAACGGGAUAAUUUGAGAGCUUGCUCUUAGAGAAUCUAGUGGCAAACGGGUGAGUAACACGUAGACAACCUGCCGACAGGAUGGGGACAACAUUCCGAAAGGAAUGCUAAUACCGAAUGAAGCGGAGGAGAGGCAUCUCUCCUCCGUGAAAGAUGGCCUCUGAAUAUGCUAUCACCUGUCGAUGGGUCUGCGUCUGAUUAGCUAGUUGGUGAGGUAACGGCUCACCAAGGCGACGAUCAGUAGCCGGUCUGAGAGGAUGAACGGCCACAUUGGGACUGAGACACGGCCCAGACUCCUACGGGAGGCAGCAGUGGGGAAUCUUCCGCAAUGGGCGCAAGCCUGACGGAGCAACGCCGCGUGAGUGAAGAAGGUCUUCGGAUCGUAAAGCUCUGUUGACGGGGACGAACGUGCGAAGGGUGAAUAAUCCUUUGUAAUGACGGUACCUGUCGAGGAAGCCACGGCUAACUACGUG